AUUCUUCACUCAGCUGUUUGCUAUUAGGGCUGGAGCAGUAGCAGUGAGAAAUUCAUUGCUGCUUGGUCUCCGAAUCCUGACACAGUAACAGCGCAGACCCAACCAGCCAAAUCCACAAAGGAUCAAGGGAAGGGGAAAAAGAGAGCAACAAUCUUUUGAGCGCUUGCCGUCUCUCUUAUAUUGCACCUUUCAUCCCCGAGGAGCCGAUUUACCGAUGGUCUGACUCUGCCCCAUUCCUGCAGAGGCUUACGCUACAUUGCAUUAGAAGACAGGGCCUCUGCUUAUACCAGAAAACUUCAGGAGCACAUCUGCUGAAGUACCAGGAACCACUGCAGAAGAUGGAGAUCAUGCCAGUGGUCAUCACCAGCCAAACAUCCCCACAGAGCUGGAGCAGCACAACUGAAGGGCUAGCAAGCUAUGACACCAGAGUACCAGAACCUCCCGCAGUGGGGCAGAGCCAGAGGAUCAGCUGAUGUUGGCUUCAUACUGGAGGGAAACCUAACACCUGAGUCCAGAAAUUCUGGUCAGUGUGAGCACAGGAUCCAUCCACCAGCCUCAGAAAUAUCCUUCUAUAAUGCAUCUUUCAUCUAAAAUCACUUCUGGCAAAGCAUACACUUUCUCUCCAUACCACUACUUCUGGUUUUGAUAAGAGGCAUUCACUAGCUUUUUUCUCAGUAGAGGCUUCACUGCAUUUUAUAUUACUUUUAAGUAUUUUUAAAAUCAUGCUUUUUGUCUAAGUACAUGAGAACUUUAGACAAAACUUUUGCAAUGUUAGGCCACAUUAGAUUGACCCAUUAGCCUUCAGUAAUUUGUGGAGUUGCAGUUAAUUUGAGAUAUUAUUAACAUUUUCUAAUUGAAAGUGUUCAGUGAUGGUUCUUCACUUAUGCAGACAAUAAGGUUCAAUCCACUGUAAGAUUCAGAGUUUUCCUUUCUUGCUUCCCAGAGUGUGAAUGUACUUAAAACAAGCUACAGGUCAAAUUUACAGUGGAAACAUUAUUGUCUUGUGUUCCAGGAUUGGAGUGGGAGUCAGGCUAAAUCCAGAGUAUCAGUAGCGAUUUUGAAUUAAUUCCAACUUGUGCACAUCUUUAGAAUGUAUCUGUCAGAGAUGGGCAACACUCACAGCUUAAUCAUAGACAUUUGCUAUUAAUAUUAAUCUGUUUCUGCUUAUGAUUCAGAGCACUUUGUUGCCAGAACACUGAAAACCCCAAAAGGCAGUGACAAUGAGUGUAUUUAUGAUGGUUGCAGAGAAGUUGGAUGGGGGAGUGGGGGGGAUGGUAAAGUCAUUUUACAAAUU
rnacentral:lncRNA from 7 species